AUUCUCUUUAGCAGCAUAUAUACUAAAAUUUGAAUGAUACAGAGAAGAUUAGCAUGGCAUCUGCACAAG
ensembl:snRNA U6 U6 spliceosomal RNA